UGCAUUAUCUGGUUCAGUCAAAUGAUGAGUGGAUUAUUCACGCUGCUGCGUGAUAUGUGCCGUCCAUCUUGUUACGACAGGGCACAUUACCCUUCUGAUA